rnacentral:rRNA from 1 species
UACAGAGGUCUCAAGCGUUGUUCGGAUUCAUUGGGCGUAAAGGGUGCGUAGGCGGCGCGGUAAGUCGGGUGUGAAAUCUUGGAGCUUAACUCCGAAACUGCAUUCGAUACUGCCGUGCUUGAGGACUGGAGAGGAGACUGGAAUUUACGGUGUAGCGGUGAAAUGCGUAGAUAUCGUAAGGAAGACCAGUGGCGAAGGCGGGUCUCUGGACAGUUCCUGACGCUGGAGACGCGAAAGCGUGGGGAGCAAACAGG